rnacentral:rRNA from 1 species
UACAGAGGGGGCAAGCGUUAUUCGGAAUUAUUGGGCGUAAAGGGCGCGUAGGCGGCCUGGCAAGUGGAAGGUGAAAUCCCUCGGCUUAACCGAGGAACUGCCCUCCAAACUGCUUGGCUUGAGACCGGGAGAGGUGAGUGGAAUUCCCAGUGUAGCGGUGAAAUGCGUAGAUAUUGGGAGGAACACCAGUGGCGAAGGCGGCUCACUGGACCGGUACUGACGCUGAGGCGCGAAAGCUAGGGGAGCAAACAGG